UACAGAGGGUGCAAGCGUUGUUCGGAAUCAUUGGGCGUAAAGCGCGUGUAGGCGGCUUGGCAAGUCGGUUGUGAAAGCCCGGGGCCCAACCCCGGAACUGCAUCUGAAACUGCCUGGCUAGAGUCCCGGAGAGGAAGGCAGAAUUCCCGGUGUAGGGGUGAAAUCCGUAGAUAUCGGGAGGAAUACCAGCGGCGAAGGCGACCUUCUGGACGGUGACUGACGCUGAGACGCGAAAGCGCGGGGAGCAAACAGG
rnacentral:rRNA from 1 species